rnacentral:rRNA from 1 species
AUUGAACGUUAGCGGGAUGCUUUACACAUGCAAGUCGAACGGAGUGGCGGACGGGUGAGUAAUAUAUCGGAACGUGCCCAGUAGCGGGGGAUAACUACCCGAAAGAGCGGCUAAUACCGCAUACUCUUGGAGCGCCCCAUAUCGGAUGAGCUAGUUGGUGGGGUAAAGGCUCACCAAGGCAACGAUCCGUAGCUGGUUUGAGAGGACGACCAGCCACACGAGGACUGAGACGCGGGCCAAACUCCUACAGAGGGCAGCAGUGGGGAAUUUUGGACGAUGGGGGAAACCCUGAUCCAACCAGCCCGCGUGUAUGAUGAAGGCCUUCGAGUUGUAAAGUACUUUGAGCAAUAAGGCGGUAUCUGCAGAGUAAGCACCGGCUAACUACGUACCAGCAGCCGCGGUAAUAC